CGUCCCAGUUCGGAUUGCAGGCUGCAACCCGCCUGCAUGAAGCUGGAAUCGCUAGUAAUCGCGGAUCAGCAUGCCGCGAUGAAUACGUUCCCGGGCCUUGUACACACCGCCCGUCACACCAUGAGAGUCGGGAACACCCGAAGUCCGUAGCCUGACCGCGAAGGGGGGCGCGGCCGAAGGUGGGUUCGAUAAUUGGGGUGAAGUCGUAACAAGGUAAC
rnacentral:rRNA from 1 species